AUUGAACGCUGGCGGCAGGCCUAACACAUGCAAGUCGAGCGGAGCGGCGGACGGGUGCGUAAUGCCUAGGAAUCUGCCUGGUAGUGGGGGAUAACGUCCGGAAACGGGCGCUAAUACCGCUUACUAUCAGAUGAGCCUAGGCCGGACUAGCUAGUUGGUGGGGUAAAGGCCUACCAAGGCGACGAUCCGUAACUGGUCUGAGAGGAUGAUCAGUCACACUGGAACUGAGGAACAGUCCAGACUCCUACGGGAGGAAGCAGUGGGGAAUAUUGGACAAUGGGCGAAAACCUGAUCCAACCAUGCAGCGUGUGUGAAGAAGGUCUUAAGAUUGUAAAGCACUUUAAGUUGGGAAGCGUUACCGACAGAAUGAGCACCGGCUAACUUCGUGCCAGCAACCGCGGUGAUUC
rnacentral:rRNA from 1 species